rnacentral:rRNA from 1 species
CAGCCGCCGCGGUAAUACGUAGGGGGCGAGCGUUGUCCGGAAUUACUGGGCGUAAAGGGCGUGUAGGCGGCCUGUUAAGUCAGGGGUGAAAGACCGGGGCUCAACCCCGGGGGUGCCUCUGAAACUGGCGGGCUUGAGUGCUCUAGAGGGCAGUGGAAUUCCCGGUGUAGCAGUGAAAUGCGUAGAGAUCGGGAGGAACACCAGUGGCGAAGGCGGCUGCCUGGGGAGUCACUGACGCUGAGACGCGAAAGCUAGGGGAGCAAACAGGAUUAGAUACCCUGGUAGUCCUAGCCGUAAACGAUGAGCGCUAUGUGUGAGGGGUAUCGACCCCCCUCGUGCAGUAGCUAACGCAUUAAGCGCUCCGCCUGGGGAGUACGGCCGCAAGGUUGAAACUUAAAGGAAUUGGCGGG